GUAUAAUGGGUCAGCGACUUAUAUUCUGUAGCAAGGUUAACCGUAUAGGGGAGCCGCAGGGAAACCGAGUCUUAACUGGGCGUUAAGUUGCAGGGUAUAGACCCGAAACCCGGUGAUCUAGCCAUGGGCAGGUUGAAGGUUGGGUAACACUAACUGGAGGACCGAACCGACUAAUGUUGAAAAAUUAGCGGAUGACUUGUGGCUGGGGGUGAAAGGCCAAUCAAACCGGGAGAUAGCUGGUUCUCCCCGAAAGCUAUUUAGGUAGCGCCUCGUGAAUUCAUCUUCGGGGGUAGAGCACUGUUUCGGCUAGGGGGUCAUCCCGACUUACCAACCCGAUGCAAACUACGAAUACCGAAGAAUGUUAUCACGGGAGACACACGGCGGGUGCUAACGUCCGUCGUGAAGAGGGAAACAACCCAGACCGCCAGCUAAGGUCCCAAAGUCACAGUUAAGUGGGAAACGAUGUGGGAAGGCACAGACAGCCAGGAUGUUGGCUUAGAAGCAGCCAUCAUUUAAAGAAAGCGUAAUAGCUCACUGGUCGAGUCGGCCUGCGCGGAAGAUGUAACGGGGCUAAACUGUGCACCGAAGCUGCGGCAGCGACACUAUGUGUUGUUGGGUAGGGGAGCGUUCUGUAAGCCUGCGAAGGUGGCCUGUGAGGGUUGCUGGAGGUAUCAGAAGUGCGAAUGCUGACAUAAGUAACGAUAAUGCGGGUGAAAAGCCCGCACGCCGGAAGACCAAGGGUUCCUGUCCAACGUUAAUCGGGGCAGGGUGAGUCGACCCCUAAGGCGAGGCCGAAAGGCGUAGUCGAUGGGAAACAGGUUAAUAUUCCUGUACUUGGUGUUACUGCGAAGGGGGGACGGAGAAGGCUAUGUUAGCCGGGCGACGGUUGUCCCGGUUUAAGCAUGUAGGCGGAGGU
rnacentral:rRNA from 1 species